UUUUCAUUUGCCUUCGAGUUUUCAAUUUCAAUAUCUUUCUUUCUAGAUGUUACUUUCUCUCUCUUCCAAAGACACGGAAGAAACAAAUUGCAGUUUCUGCGCAGUUGACUCAAAUUUGAUGACACAAAUAUUAUUACAGGGACACGUGCCGUAUUGAAAGAGUUUUGAAAACACGCAUUACUGUACUAAUUUCAGUAGCUUGUAGGACAAUAGGACUCUUCUUGUCUGCGUUUUGAAGUUGAAGGGUUCCUUCCUCAUUCUAGUUGGGAAUCGUUUCUCUUCGCUCACAUUCGCACUUCGCUAAGUAAGAAAAAUAUUCAUGACUGACACCAUCUAUUGGAUAACAUUCACCAUCAGAAGAACACACACUGGAUUUAGUAAUGCAAUCUCACCAUCAGCAAUUGAAUGUGAUCCCCAAUCCAGAACCUACAGAGAAAGCCAUAAUCGGUUGCUCAUCUUCUCCUUUCCGUCACUUCCAACUCAACACAAAUCCAAGUUGAGGUUAUCGCAGUUUGUCAACAAGCAAAGUGUUGCUCACCUGACCAUUUCUGAUCAAGACAAAUCAUAUUGGCAUAUACUUGGAGUACCAAAGUUAAGAGCAACCAGAACAGUUUUUGUGAAGAUAAAGGAUAUCAAUGAAAAGCGGAAAAGAAACCAAAACAGUUUCCAUUUGCAUGGCUAGAGUAAGUUUCUUCAUGUCUAGCACUAUCCAAUUUUUUCCUACAAGGUGUUUAAUUAAAUGCUUCUGAAGAUUUUAGCUUAUUGUUUGGCUUGUUUGAUGAUUUUAGUUUCUGCCAUGUGUGGUGGUUAAGCAUUGUUUAUUUGUUAGCUUAAGUCAUGAGUGGUUAAGCCUUAGUUAUUGUUGGUUCACAAAGUAUUUGUGAAAAGUCCUCAUAGAAGACAGAUUUUGUGAUUCUUCUAUUUUAUUGAUGUAAGCUUCUGUGCA